rnacentral:rRNA from 1 species
AAGUAACGAUAAAGCGGGUGAAAAGCCCGCUCGCCGGAAGACCAAGGGUUCCUGUCCAACGUUAAUCGGGGCAGGGUGAGUCGACCCCUAAGGCGAGGCUGAAAAGCGUAGUCGAUGGGAAACAGGUUAAUAUUCCUGUACUUGGUGUUACUGCGAAGGGGGGACGGAGAAGGCUAGGCUAGCCGGGCGACGGUUGUCCCGGUUUAAGCGUGUAGGGGGUGUGACCUGGUAAAUCCGGUUGCAUACUAACCCUGAGGCGUGAUGACGAUGCACUACGGUGCAGAAGUAGUUGAUGCCCUGCUUCCAGGAAAAUCCUCUAAGCUCCAGGUAACAUUAAAUCGUACCCCAAACCGACACAGGUGGUCAGGUAGAGAAUACCAAGGCGCUUGAGAGAACUCGGGUGAAGGAACUAGGCAAAAUGGUGCCGUAACUUCGGGAGAAGGCACGCUGGCAUGUAGGUGAAGUCCCUCGCGGAUGGAGCUGAAGCCAGUCGAAGAUACCAGCUGGCUGCAACUGUUUAAUAAAAACACAGCACUGUGCAAACACGAAAGUGGACGUAUACGGUGUGACGCCUGCCCGGUGCUGGAAGGUUAAUUGAUGGGGUCAGCCGCAAGGCGAAGCUCUUGAUCGAAGCCCCAGUAAACGGCGGCCGUAACUAUAACGGUCCUAAGGUAGCGAAAUUCCUUGUCGGGUAAGUUCCGACCUGCACGAAUGGCGUAAUGAUGGCCAGGCUGUCUCCACCCGAGACUCAGUGAAAUUGAACUCGCUGUGAAGAUGCAGUGUACCCGCGGCAAGACGGAAAGACCCCGUGAACCUUUACUAUAGCUUGACACUGAACAUUGAGCCUUGAUGUGUAGGAUAGGUGGGAGGCUUUGAAGCGUGGACGCCAGUCUGCGUGGAGCCAUCCUUGAAAUACCACCCUUUAAUGUUUGAUGUUCUAACUCGGCCCCGUGAUCCGGGGUGAGGACAGUGUCUGGUGGGUAGUUUGACUGGGGCGGUCUCCUCCCAAAGAGUAACGGAGGAGCACGAAGGUUAGCUAAUCACGGUCGGACAUCGUGAGGUUAGUGCAAAGGCAUAAGCUAGCUUGACUGCGAGAGUGACGGCUCGAGCAGGUACGAAAGUAGGUCUUAGUGAUCCGGUGGUUCUGAAUGGAAGGGCCAUCGCUCAACGGAUAAAAGGUACUCCGGGGAUAACAGGCUGAUACCGCCCAAGAGUUCAUAUCGACGGCGGUGUUUGGCACCUCGAUGUCGGCUCAUCACAUCCUGGGGCUGAAGUAGGUCCCAAGGGUAUGGCUGUUCGCCAUUUAAAGUGGUACGCGAGCUGGGUUUAGAACGUCGUGAGACAGUUCGGUCCCUAUCUGCCGUGGGCGUUGGAAGAUUGAGAGGGGUUGCUCCUAGUACGAGAGGACCGGAGUGAACGCACCACUGGUGUUCGGGUUGUCAUGCCAAUGGCAUUGCCCGGUAGCUAAGUGCGGAAAAGAUAAGCGCUGAAAGCAUCUAAGCGCGAAACUUGCCUCAAGAUGAGUCUUCCCUGGGCCUUUAAGGCCCCUGAAGGAACGUUUAAGACUAAGACGUUGAUAGGCUGGGUGUGUAAGUGCAGCGAUGCAUUGAGCUAACCAGUACUAAUGAUCCGUGAGGCUUAACCUU